rnacentral:lncRNA from 1 species
GAACGGGAAGGUUACGAAGGGCGAGCUAUUGAGAUGGAACCUAGCUCGAAAAGUCGUAAGGGUGCGCGCCUUCCCCUGACCGGGCGCGCCCUCAGGUAAAUACUAAACUCCCCCAGUAUUUGGUUCCCUAAGACUACUACAUGUGUAAAUUCACAGGUAAUAUGGUGUUACCUUUAUGAGGAAUACACCUCUUCGCCGUGAGGAGUAGUCGCACUUUCCUCCAACAAGGCGCGCCCUCCUAAAGGGGUACGCCAUAUCCAACCAGUAUUCUAUCAGAGAACGAAUUGCGCGCCUCCCUCUGACAGGGCGCGCCCUCUGGUAUGUCUGAUGCAUUAAUUGCUUCAUAUGAUACUUUGUGAAGACAAACAUACUCAGGAAGGAGCUCACUAGUCUUGAAGAGGUCACGUCCCUCCCUAGGGCGCGUCCUCUCGGAAGUACUCAUCACUUGAGGAAGCACAUGAGGGCGCGCCCCCAGGAUAAUAAUGUUGAGAAGGGAGAUGCUUCAAAGACGCGCCUCCUCCUAGUUGGACGCACCCCGAGUUCCAAGGUCAUGUUUCCAGGGUUGAUAAUUUGGGAGGACGCGUCUUCCCCUAACAGGGCGCGUCGUGAGGUAACACUGACCAUCAGUAUUAAGUCGUAUACAUGAUAAAGUGCAGGUCAAGUCUAACAUGCUAAAGGAGCUGUCCAUCUUGAUGAGGGCGCGCCCUCCGUUCUACGGGAACGUAGCAUGAUACCUGCAAGGUCUUUGAUUAAGGUACACUUAAGGCCUUUCAAAGGUUACCAAAUUAUCCAUGACUAGCUCUGGGUACUAUGAAUUUUAACCAUCCAUGAUACGCUCUGGAUGUCAUCCACGAUUUACUCUGGAUGCUAUGAUUAUUUACGUGUCCAUGAUACGCUCUGGAUACUAUAUUUGCGCAUCCAUAAUACGCUCUGGACAUUAUACUUGCGCAUCCAUGAUACGCUCUGGAUCUUACAUAUUCAUGAUAUGCUCUGGAUAACAGUUUAUACUAUUAAUUCCCCAUUGAGCUAUUAGCUCUGGGACCCGUGCGAUGCACCGGAGCUUUUUUAAACCACGAUAAGAUUCGUGAUGCCUCGUAUGGGAUGAUGUAUGGACUGGGGAGUGGUCCUUUUGAAUUUCUUAAGCAAGUGAUUCACGCGUGAAAAAGUAAAGCUGCGCCAAAGGCCGCGCCCUCUACUUAAUCCUUGGAAAAGAUCAAAAGAGCCUUACAAGUAAGGCUGCGCCCUCUGCUUAUACAGUCCUUGAAAGAAAAGAAAUAUUGCAAGGCAGCGCCAUCAGCCGCGCCCUCUGCUUAGGCAAUUCUUUAACAAAAAGAAUUAAAAGGGGUCAUGUUAUAACUAGGCGGCGCCAUUCUGUAAGUCGCGCCUUAUAUUUACUAUUCCCAGAUACCAUGGACACAGUAAGGCUGAAAAAAAAGCCACAAACCUUCGCACAGCGAAGGCGCGCCCUUCUUUUGUUGAAGUUCAUUGGCGCGAAUGUUAUGGUUGAAUGUGUCAUUUGGAAGGAAUAAGCGAAGCUGCGCCACUGUCAACGACAGAUAGGCCGCGCCCCCUGUUUUCUUUUGUCUACAUAAAGAUUGCUUAUUAUUUAUGAACACAUCAAGAAGACGCGACAGCCUCAUGCUUAGCAACUUUGCUAAAUGAUCAAAGACACCGACAUUAUAUACAUGCAAGGCUUGUGCACAGCCUGCAUCUUGGAAUGUCGAGGAAUAGAAGUGGCUUACGUCACGCCUCUAUGCGCGGACGCGCUCUCGGAAGAGGAUGUGUGGUAUGGAGUAAAAAUUUCCCUGAUAUCUCCAAUAUCAAGAAAAUUUGGGGAGUACUUGUUAUAGCCAAAUUUGGCUAGGUCCUUGUUGGGCCAAGUAUGUACUUAGUUUAACUAAGUAAGACAUGAAUUGGGCUAAGAGUCCUAUAUAAAGGAAGGACGCGUCCUCCUGCUUAUAAAGGGAGGACGCGACCGACCCUUGAAGAGACUAGUCUGAACGGAAGGGCGCAGCCCUCCGUGACGCGACUGAUCCGCCGAUGUUGCGUAUCUUAAUGAAGAGGACGCGUCCUCCGCGUCGGAAGGAGGGAUGUGUCCUCCAGGUCACACGUGUCCCAUGAAGAGGACGCGUCCUCCUGCUUAUAAGGGGAGGAUGCGAUCGACCCUUGGUGUUGCGUGAAGAGGAGGCGUCCUCCUGCUUAUAAAGGGAGGAUGCGACCGACCCUUGGUGUUGCUUGAAAAGGACGCGUCCUCCGAGUCACAAGGAGGGACGCCUUACUUGAGAGUGUUGAUGGAGAGACGCGACCGACCUCCGUCC